CUGACCUUUUGGGAUGGACUUAGCUCUGCAAUUGGACCCAACUCCUCCUGUGGUUAUGAUCUGUGUUGCCACCCGCCCUGUGUACCUGUGUGUUAGACCUUCCUUCAGCGCCUCAACACUCUGGUCCCCUCCUUGCUCUCUGCUCUGCUCACUCUCCAUCUUCUCCUGGAAGGAUCCUCUCCUUUUCUGUGGCUUCAUUUUCACUGUGAAUCCAUCCCAUCCCCGACCCAAAUGUGUAUCUUUAGGUUCUCAUCACCUUUCCUGUGGAUAAUUUUGCCAGCCUCCUCACUUCUUUCCCAGCCUCUAGUCUGGCAGGAACUCUAGUCUAUCGCUGGACAGUUAAAGCCAUCCUUUCUUAUAAAGCCCAUGUCUGGUCACGGAACUGCCCCUCGCCAUCCCCAGCGUGCACGUCUGUAAGAGCACACAGUUCUCUACCACCUGUAGGCUGGAGCCCAAUCUCUACGCGGCUCUCCUCUCAGUCCCAUUUUCCUCGCCAUUCUCAUCUCUGGCUUCUACUCUUGCUCCGUUUGGAUCAGACUGAAUUACUUCUAUGGGCUGCACUCGCCCUUACUAAGUCUGCAUAUGUGCCACCCUUUAUUCAGUGUAGGCAACACCUCCUCCCAGAAGCCUUCCCUGACUGCUCUUUACCUCACCCAAAAUAGCCUAGGUGUCUUGUUGGAUGCUUCCAAAUCACCCUGUAUCUCCUCUACCAUACAUUUAAUUGGAAUGACUUUUUAAAUUCUCUGCUUCAGUUAGAUGGUGUUAUGGGCUGAAUGGUAUCUUGCUCCCCAAAUUUGCAUGUUGAAAUCCUAAACCCCCGUACCUCGGAAUGUAACGUACUUGGAGAUGCUGUCAAGGCACCAGGGACGUGGGUGCACAGAGGAAAGACCAGGUGAGGACAGGAUGAGAAGAGGGCCAUCUGCCCGACCAAGAGAGGCCUCCAAAGAAAUCAAACCUGCCAGCACCUUGACCCUGGAGGUCCCACCUCCAGAACUGUGAAGAAAUAAAGUUCUGCUAUUUAGGCCCCGAGCGUGGUGUUUUGUUCUGGUAGCCCAAGCAAACUUGUACAGAGGGUAAGCGGUUUGAGAACAAGUUCAAGUCCUGUUUGCCUUUGUGUCCUUAUCAUACACUCCAAAGCCUAUCACACGGUAGUGGUGAAACAAGCAUUUAUGGAACCAACUGACUGAUAAUUGAUUAAUAAAUAGAUAAAUGUGCUUGGUACUGAAAAAUAAAUCCAUUUUGAGGGUUACUUGAAUGUGUUAAAAUGAAUUCAACUAACUUUGGUAGCAAGGAGCCCUCUCAUGAACAAACCUUCAAAUCACAGAUGUGCAGGGAGAAUUGUUUGGUUGGUGAAUAAUAGGGUCACAUCAUAACAGCGUUUUGUAUUUAUAGAAACUUUUCUCUCAAGAAACAAAAAAGGCUCCGGCUUCUAUUAAUACAUUCCUCUGGGAGCAGCAGAGAGAAGCGCUAGGAAUGGGGAUCGUGCAGGGGAGGAAGCCGAGGGGUGAGGGUCAGGCAGCUUGUCCAGGACGGUUGGAACCACGGGCUGGCCAGCGCCAAGGGGGAGCCCAGCGCUUCUGAGUGUCGAGUCCCCAGCCAGUCCUGGCAGUGGUGUGAUCUGUGCAAAGAUCCGAUGAGAGGACUCAGUCAGUCAUGCUCGCUCUGAAAUGCCAUCGCAUGCGGAGAGCACCUUCUGGAUGCAAUGGAGGGAAAGAAAUGGCACAUUUGAGGGGAAAAGAGAGAUGAUGCCUUUGGCGUUUUAUAUGACAGACAGCAAGCCUCUGGGCAAACAGUGGAUGCAGGGUCAAGCAGACAUCCAGAUGUUUUCUAGCCACCAACAUGACAAUAUCUGCAAACAUCUGGAGGGUCAAUGGAAAGGCUUGUGUUUUUCCACCCAUGUGGCCCGUUUGGGCUACUUCCAGCCAGAAUUAGGCUGAGUCAGGAGGGCACAGCGGACCUUUGCUGCCUUCCCUACAGGGUUGCACAGUGUUGGAGGGAGCCGGGUCUGGCUCUGUCUGGGGUGUUGGUUGAACAGGUAUGUGCGUGCACACACACGCAGGAAGACUUCCCGAACAGAUCCAGAGCUCCUGCAUCAAGGGGCUCCUGGGGAGGAAGGCUCCCCUUGGGACCGAGGAUGCCAGGCAGCGACCGGCCGGACCUGCAGUGCUCAGGGCACUGCGCCAGCCCCCACCUGUGCACAGUUGGUGGCCAGGCUUGGUCACUAGCAGCAGCAGCAGCAGCAGCCAGAAGAUGCAGUUGGAUAACAUGCUCAGAGAAGGAACGAGAGGAGGAGCAGGCCAAGGGGGAGCGUCUUGGUGGUUAAGGUGGUUGGCGUGGAUGGGACUCCAAAGACAGAGCUGAGUGUCAGUUCUUAUGAGCAAGUAUUGCCUGCGCUGGAUGAAGAGGACUCGCUGGGAAUCAGGGCCUGUGGAUCACAGCCGGCUCGCUUCACCGUGAAUUGCCGGAGCUGUGGGCUUGUCAGACUUGAGCCGGUUUGAGAACAGAGGCAGUGGCACAUCAUCCCCAGUCGUCUGUCCAUUCAUCCUUCCUCCGCUCGACCAGUGUUAGCGGAAUUCCUCUAAUACGCAGAUCAAGAACUAUACUAGGUAGUGAGGAUUAAGGCGUAACUCUCUGGUCCAGGGGAGGCCAGAGACUCAGGAAACAGGCCAUUGCAGGACACCGGAAUCCGUGCUCGGAGGGGGCAGCGUGCAGGGUGGUGGGAACCCCCCGGCUGAUGCCUCCCGCUUCCUGGAGGCAGUGAUGUCCGCGGUCAGGUCUGACGGGUGAGUGGAACGGAGCCAGGGAGCAGGAGGGCUCAGGAGUUCACCGGACGAGGGGACAAUGGCUCGGAAGAGGAAGAGCCAGUGCUCCUGAAAGGCUGGAGUAUCUGGGGGGGAGAAACGAGGCAGGAAGACUCAGCACAGCGGGUGCUGGAGGCUCUGCUCCUCCUGGUGGUGAGGCGGGGCUGCGGGGCUGAAUGGACGGGGCUGAGAGCCGAGCACAGAGCAGGCUGCGGGGGAGUGCAGAUUUGGGGGUCACUGGAACACAGGCAUCAGUCAGAGGCCUGAGGGAGUGAAACCCCGCCCAGGGAGCGUCCGGGGUGAGAGGGAGGGCCCGGGACAGAGUUCAGAGAAGCCGCAACCUUCAAGUGUGGGGGCACCGAAGGCCCACUGGGACGGGCAGCCAGAGAGCAGGGAGGAAAGGUGAGAGGCGGUGGUGAGGCUUCCAGAGGAAGAGCAGGUCAGAAGAGCAAGGUCAUGGCUCAGAGGGCAAAAGGGGCUGACAAAUCAAGUAAAACAGUGACUAAAAAAAGUGCCUACUUAGCAACAUGGGGAUGGGUAGUGAUCUUGGCGAGAUCUGACGCUUCCUGAUAAGUCAGGUGUGGGCAGGUAGUGGGAGGUGAGAAGUAGCGUCGCACACUUUUUGUAGAACUCUGGCCACGAUGGUGAGAAAGAGCUUGCUCUGGACUUGGAGGGCUGUGGUUGGAAGGACUGGUAAAGACAGAAGCAGCAAGAGCGCUCGCGGCUAUUCCCGAGGGCCCCGGGGAGCUGAAACACCGCCACAGGCACAGGGCGGAGGGCCCCCUGUCAGGGCCAGCCCAGAACUCCUUUGGGUGUGAGGUGCUAAGGAACUGAGCUUGGGGCCAGACCACACGGAUGUAGUCCUGCCUCUUCCAUAUCUUGUCCGUGUGACCUUCGGGAAGUCACCUAAGCUCAGUCUCAAUUUCUUCAUCUGAACAAUAGGAUCCACCUCCUCAGGCUACUUGAAAACCAAAUUCAGUUUUGUCCAUAAAGGGGCUGGCGCAGUGCCUGCUAAGUCCUCAUCAACGCCUGUCUACCGUCUGAAGGAUGGCGACCUGUCAGGAACCUGUCCCUCCAGGUGGCGGGCACCUCCUCCGGUGCCCACCUCUGCCUUGAAUGGGGCAAGGGCUCGUUCUCUUUGCUCUGCUGGCCUCUCUCCCGGCACCCGACGCCACACACAGCCCUGGAAGAUCUCCAGCUCGCGCUGUCUGCAUGCGAGCCUGCCAUGGGGAGCAGCAGCUGCGAACACACCUAACCAGAAGCAGCAUUGCCGGAUGGGUGACACCUCAGGGGAAACCACAGCUUCGUGCCUCUUUGCUGGAAAGCCCAACCGCCCUUUUGUUCUGCAGGUAGAACUGUUGCGAAAGGGAACGCAGACGGAGUUCCGGGAACACUGUAGGUACCUCUGAAAUGGUUUCUCUGUUUUUAAACAUCACCAGGAAGUGCUAAGUGAUGGGACAAGAAGGGAGUGCCCAAGAGAGGGCAAAGCGAAGCCUCAUCUUCCAAACCAGACGCUCUGCCUUCUUUCUCUUUUGGUCCCUGCCCCCUACUUCCUCCCAGUAGAGACUGUAUCUGCUUUUUUUCUCUCCCUGAGGAGCCUGAUAGGCUUAUUCCCAUUGGAACCAAAUGGAGCUGGAGCCUUGUAGAUAAUCUGGAGCCUGGAUAGGAAAAAGAGGCUUGAAGUUACAGUGAGUGACUGAGGAGCCAGGCAGGACUCCAGACUCAUGACUCUGACUCCUUGGUCCAGUGCUCUGUUCAAAGCUUCUCCUCGUAGACAACGAGGAUUUUAGCAAUCCAUUAUCUCCCUGAUGUUGCUGCUGUAAUCAUCCACCACGCAUCACACACCUCCUUUACAGGACUUCAGAGGACUUGCAUCCAGUCCUUUGUAGGCACUGGGGACUAGCAGCCAAAGAGAAGUAAUCCCUGCUCUUGCAGGGCGUAUGGUCCAGUGAGGGGAGAUGGAUAUGUGCAAUAGCAUUAUGU
rnacentral:lncRNA from 1 species